UACAGAGGUCUCGAGCGUUGUUCGGAUUCAUUGGGCGUAAAGGGUGCGUAGGUGGCUUGUUAAGUCAGGGGUGAAAGUUUUCGGCCCAACCGGAAAAUGGCCUUUGAUACUGGCGAGCUCGAGUGCGUGAGGGGUAACCGGAACGAGCAGUGUAGCGGUGAAAUGCGUAGAUAUUGCUCGGAAGGCCAACGGCGAAGGCAGGUUACUGGUGCGCAACUGACACUGAGGCACGAAAGCGUGGGGAGCAAACAGG
rnacentral:rRNA from 1 species